rnacentral:rRNA from 1 species
GACGAACGCUGGCGGUGUGCUUAACACAUGCAAGUCGAACGGUAAGGCCCUUUCGGGGGUACACGAGUGGCGAACGGGUGCGUAACACGUGAGUAACCUGCCCUCAUCUCUGGGAUAACAGUCGGAAACGGUUGCUAAUACUGGAUAUGAGCUUGCAAGGCAUCUUGUGGGUUGGAAAAAUUUUUUUGGUUGGGGAUGGACUCGCGGCCUAUCAGCUUGUUGGUGAGGUAGUGGCUCACCAAGGCUUCGACGGGUAGCCGGCCUGAGAGGGCGACCGGCCACAUUGGGACUGAGAUACGGCCCAAACUCCUACGGGAGGCAGCAGUGGGGAAUAUUGCACAAUGGACGGAAGUCUGAUGCAGCAACGCCGCGUGCGGGAUGACGGCCUUCGGGUUGUAAACCGCUUUCAAUUGUGACGAAGCUUUUUGCGACGGUAGCAGUAGAAGAAGCACCGGCUAACUACGUG